AAUGGCCACCUGCUCUUGAAGACCCACAUUCACACAGUUGGAUAAGGAGUCUCCCCUUUUGAGCAGGGGUAACAGGAGGAGAACAAGAGAAAAGAAUCCACGGUCUUGCUCUGGAGGGGGUGUUCUGGGGACUAGUUCUAUGUGCUUGAAAAAGAAAGGAGGAGCUGGAGGGAGAAGAGGAGAAAAAGCUGUGCACUUUGUCCCUUGUACCCAGCUUUGCUCUGGAUAAACAGGACCUGCCCUUGACUACCUCUGUCCACCGUCAGGAGGGAGAUCAGUUUUCGGCGGACACAACAUCUUUUUUUGUAUGUGGUGCUGAGGAUCGAACCUGGGCCGCAGGCAUGCCAGGCGCACGCAUGUGGCGCUUGAGCCACAUCCCCAGCCCGUUUGCACCUGAGAUGGGUGUGACUUGCCAAGAUGUCAGUCAAUCUGCGGACCACAAGACAUCACGAACCUAGACUCAACCCCCUGAAACCCGACCCCUUGCCUCAUUUGGGUGGAAAUUUCUCCAGUGACUUCCCCUCGUUCAUUUUCCUGAUGGCUGCUGGCUAAGAUUCAUUAUUCGGAACAAUUAGCAAGUUGGAGAGUCUCGCUGGAGGCUGUCGUCUCAAGAAAGUAACAAAUCUUGCCUCUACACAUUUUGCUCUGGAGCCUCUUGGUUAUUUUUUUAAAACCUCAUCUUUUAGUUCCCCUCAGGGAUUCUAAUGAAGAUAUCAGCCAUCUGUUAAGUAAAGGGAAUAAGGGACUGGAGCACAAAAAUAUCAACACCAGGAACAAUCUGUAUAUUUGUUUGUAGUUGAUGAGCACCAGCUCCAACUGCAAAAUAAUGAAGAACUUCACUAAAUGUUUCACUUUUUGCCCCUAAAAAAAAUGACUUAUGUACAAACCAUAUCCAAAAAUAAAGAAAAAUUUAACCUGA